CCCUGGAAUGGUUAGGCGGGCGGACGGGUGAGUAACACGUGGGUAACCUGCCUGUAAGACUGGCCAUAACUCCGGGAAACCGGGGCUAAUACCGGAUGGUUGUUUGAACCGCAUGGUUCAAACAUAAAAGGUGGCUUCGGCUACCACUUACAGAUGGACCCGCGGCGCAUUAGCUAGUUGGUGAGGUAACGGCUCACCAAGGCAACGAUGCGUAGCCGACCUGAGAGGGUGAUCGGCCACACUGGGACUGAGACACGGCCCAGACUCCUACGGGAGGCAGCAGUAGGGAAUCUUCCGCAAUGGACGAAAGUCUGACGGAGCAACGCCGCGUGAGUGAUGAAGGUUUUCGGAUCGUAAAGCUCUGUUGUUAGGGAAGAACAAGUACCGUUCGAAUAGGGCGGUACCUUGACGGUACCUAACCAGAAAGCCACGGCUAACUACGUGCCAGCAGCCGCGGUAAUACGUAGGUGGCAAGCGUUGUCCGGAAUUAUUGGGCGUAAAGGGCUCGCAGGCGGUUUCUUAAGUCUGAUGUGAAAGCCCCCGGCUCAACCGGGGAGGGUCAUUGGAAACUGGGGAACUUGAGUGCAGAAGAGGAGAGUGGAAUUCCACGUGUAGCGGUGAAAUGCGUAGAGAUGUGGAGGAACACCAGUUGGUGAAGGCGACUCUCCUGGUCUGUAACUGACGCUGAGGAGCGAAAGCGUGCGGAGCGAACAGGAUUUAGAUACCCUGGUAGUCCACGCCGUAAACGAUGAGUGCUAAGUGUUAGGGGGUUUCCGCCCCUUAGUGCUGCAGCUAACGCAUUAAGCACUCCGCCUGGGGAGUACGGUCGCAAGACUGAAACUCAAAGGAAUUGACGGGGGCCCGCACAAGCGGUGGAGCAUGUGGUUUAAUUCGAAGCAACGCGAAGAACCUUACCAGGUCUUGACAUCCUCUGACAAUCCUAGAGAUAGGACGUCCCCUUCGGGGGCAGAGUGACAGGUGGUGCAUGGUUGUCGUCAGCUCGUGUCGUGAGAUGUUGGGUUAAGUCCCGCAACGAGCGCAACCCUUGAUCUUAGUUGCCAGCAUUCAGUUGGGCACUCUAAGGUGACUGCCGGUGACAAACCGGAGGAAGGUGGGGAUGACGUCAAAUCAUCAUGCCCCUUAUGACCUGGGCUACACACGUGCUACAAUGGACAGAACAAAGGGCAGCGAAACCGCGAGGUUAAGCCAAUCCCACAAAUCUGUUCUCAGUUCGGAUCGCAGUCUGCAACUCGACUGCGUGAAGCUGGAAUCGCUAGUAAUCGCGGAUCAGCAUGCCGGGCCGUGUGCCCA
rnacentral:rRNA from 1 species